AGAAAAAUGGACACUUAGUUAACAGCCUUUUCAAAAACAUGAAUUCAAGAUAUUACUGUUUAAUUGCUUCAAUUCAAUAUUCUCUUGACUACAUCAUUACACAUGGACACUAGUCAAUCUUCAAUUUGACAGAAUCCUCAAAUAUCUUGGGUAUGGCACUGAUGCAUAAUCCUUUGGUCCUUGUCCAAGUACUGGUUUAGGUAUAACUUAUCAAGAAUGCCUGGAAUCUAAACAGCCAAGUUUAGAGCUUAAACAGAGCCUCCUUCCUCAAUGUCCUUCACUGCCAACUAGCCAGAGCACCCCCCAGCUGCUGGGGGGCUCUGAGAAGACCACUUUCUUUGGUGUAUUUUAUUACAGGCUAAACAACACCCCUAAACAACAACAGAAACUCUCUGAGGUUUCCCAAUGCCUUCAAGUGGCUCUGGGAAGGCAUUGGAAGGCUUUGGAUGAAAUUACAGGCUAAGCUGCUUUAGCAAAAAGACACACAAAAUACAGAAGAUUAAACUAUGCAGGGAGUCUGGGAGAAAAGUUAAAGAGAGGAAACUGGUCAACAAUUGUCAACCUUAUCUUCUCUUCAAUUAUCUUUCCUAAAUUCCGGUAUGAUUUUGGUUGCUUGAACAAUCAGCGUGGUCUGAUGAGAGCUUAUCAGCUGCGAGUAGCAGGAGAAAGAAGUGAAGAUAAUUAUUUCCCACUUGGAGCUGAAUAAAGUGAAGCUAAACCACUAAAUGCAGCUCCCUAAACACACACACACACACACACACACACACACACACACACACAGAGCAAUACACAAACUCAAAGCUUGAUAAUUUUAGUCUGGCUAUUGAUAUUUCAAAAUUGCAUGGGAGAAAAUUGUUAUGAGUUGAAUUCCAGUUGGUUUCAAAGGCAUUUCUAAAUUUGUGCUUUUAUACCUGCAGUCAUUACCUCACGUUUCUGAACGUCUUCUACAGAGCCUAUGCCAGGCGCUGCUGGCUACAUACACAGGUCACUAACAACAAAGCAAGGUGGGAUACAUUAAAUAGCCAAUGGGAUGGGAGAGGAGGAGAUGGGACUUUAUCCGCAUUUUAAAGAAAAUAUACAAUGCCAAGGAGGGGCAAGCAGUCCCUGCAAGGGGAGCGGCAUGAACGUGGGGAGCAGGGGAAAAGACGGGCCUGGCAUGAAUCUGGCACACUCAGAGAGCAAUGAGUUUGUGUAGCGCAGCGGAUUCAGGUAUAGGAGUAAUAACGGCCCCUGUGAGGCGGUAAAUGGACUCUAAAUUUCGGUUGAGCAUCAAUGCCGACUUAAAGGAUUCGCACAUCUUGAAGGCAUUGGGAAACCUCGAAGGGUUUCUGUUGUUGUUUAGGGGUGUGGUUUGGUUGGGGAGAGAAGGAAAUGUGAUAUAUACAAGACGCUGCUUUGGGAUGAGUCAUCUGACCGUGGUGUACAAUGGAUCAGAAUGGAGAGAGAGUGGGAGUGUUCGGAUUGUUGCGGAGGCAGGGUGAGGAGCUGGGAGCCUGCGCUAAGGCUACCCAUGACCUACAGGCUGUGCGAGCCACGCUGUUUCCCAUCUUGUCUCCGUUCAUCUUCCUCGUGCCCUAUGAAGUCGGUAUCCGGCUCCAUCUUACAGACCAGGAAACUAAGAGCAGGCAAGGUCCAAGGCCACAUAACAGGUGCAAAAAGACAGACUGGAGGGAGAUGUAUGCCAGGACCCCUGACCGGCCCUCUUAGCUUGCUGGAGGGGCUGGGUGCAGCUCACUGACCUGGCCUUCACCAUCUGCUGCCUGCUUGGCUGUGGAGCCACUGAUGCCCACGUGUAGAGGGCACAGACCUAGACAGAAAUUGCUCAUUGAAAUGAGUAAUGCUAGAAAAAUUCACUUGAACAUGGAGAACGGUAAUAAAUAUCUAACUCUA
rnacentral:lncRNA from 1 species